rnacentral:lncRNA from 1 species
GGGGUCCUUAGGCCGAACUGAUUGCUCCUUUGAAGCCUUGCGCUUCUCCUCCUGCCAAUACUCGAUCAUAUCUCUGAGAUCCUUCCCAUUUUUCCCGGUUUUGGCUGCAUCUAAAGCUUGUAGAACCAUCCUCUACCUUCUUUCUUCCUGGCCAAGCUGUGUGGCUGGAAGGUUACUCGAUCCUCCGCUAACGUUCUCGUCGAAUUGAGUGCCAACAUUGUUUGGCCAAGCUCUUUUCGAUCUUCUGGAAGAUUGUGGCAUUAGGCUCCAGCACAAACUUCUGGACCCUUUCCCCCAGUGUGCUCUCUAGAAGCACUGUCUUCAAUAUGUUGCCUACCC